rnacentral:tRNA from 1 species
ACAGCUAUAGGUUAACGGUAGACCAUUCGUCUUCCAAACGAUAUGUACUGAUUCGAAUUCAGUUAGCUGUA